rnacentral:rRNA from 1 species
CCUACGGGUGGCAGCAGUAGGGAAUCUUCCACAAUGGGCGAAAGCCUGAUGGAGCAACGCAGCGUGGGUGAAGAAUGUCCUCGGAGCGUAAAACCCUGUUGUUAGAGAAGUAAGUGCGUGAGAGUAACUGUUCACGUUUCGACGGUAUGUAUCCAGAACGCCUCGGCUAACUCCGUGCCAGCAGAUGCGGCAAUACGUAGGUGGCUAGCGUUAUCCGGAUUUAUUGGGCGUAAAGGGAACGGAGGUGGUCUUUUAAGUCUGAUGUGAAAGCCUUCGGCUUAACCGGAGUAGUGCAGUGGAAACUGGGAGUCUUGAGUGCAGAAGAGGUGAGUGGAACUCGAGGUGUAGCGGUGAAAUGCGUAGAUA